rnacentral:rRNA from 1 species
AUUGAACGCUGGCGGCAGGCCUAACACAUGCAAGUCGAACGAGCGGCGGACGGGUGAGUAAUGUAUGGGGAACUGCCCGAUAGAGGGGGAUAACUACUGGAAACGGUGGCUAAUACCGCAUACUAUCGGAUGAACCCAUAUGGGAUUAGCUAGUAGGUGGGGUAAAGGCUCACCUAGGCGACGAUCUGUAGCUGGUCUGAGAGGAUGAUCAUCAACACUGGGACUGAGACACGGCCCAGACUCCUACGGGAGGCAGCAGUGGGGAAGUUUGCACAAUGGGCGAAAGCCUGAUUCAGCCAUGCCGCGUGUAUGAAGAAGGCCUUCGGGUUGUAAAGUACUUUCAGCGGAGAAGCGUUACCCGCAGAAUAAGCACCGGCUAACUCCGUGCCAGCCGCCGCGGUAAUAC